rnacentral:rRNA from 1 species
UACGGAGGGGGCGAGCGUUAUUCGGAAUUAUUGGGCGUAAAGGGCGCGUAGGCGGCUUGAUGUGUCAAAGGUGAAAUCCCUCGGCUCAACUGAGGAACUGCCUUUGAAACUGUCUGGCUUGAGGCCGGGAGAGGGUAGCGGAAUUCCCAGUGUAGCGGUGAAAUGCGUAGAUAUUGGGAGGAACACCAGUGGCGAAGGCGGCUACCUGGACCGGUUCUGACGCUGAUGCGCGAAAGCGUGGGGAGCAAACAGG